GUGAACGCUGGCGGUAGGCCUAACACAUGCCAGUCGAACGGCAGCACAGUAAGAGCUUGCUCUUACGGGUGGCGAGUGGCGGACGGGUGAGGAAUACAUCGGAAUCUACUUUUUCGUGGGGGAUAACGUAGGGAAACUUACGCUAAUACCGCAUACGACCUACGGGUGAAAGCAGGGGAUCUUCGGACCUUGCGCGAUUGAAUGAGCCGAUGUCGGAUUAGCUAGUUGGCGGGGUAAAGGCCCACCAAGGCGACGAUCCGUAGCUGGUCUGAGAGGAUGAUCAGCCACACUGGAACUGAGACACGGUCCAGACUCCUACGGGAGGCAGCAGUGGGGAAUAUUGGACAAUGGGCGCAAGCCUGAUCCAGCCAUACCGCGUGGGUGAAGAAGGCCUUCGGGUUGUAAAGCCCUUUUGUUGGGAAAGAAAAGCAGCAGGUUAAUACCCCGCUGUUCUGACGGUACCCAAAGAAUACGCACCGGCUAACUUCGUG
rnacentral:rRNA from 1 species